AUACGUAGGUGGCAAGCGUUAUCCGGAAUUACUGGGUGUAAAGGGUGAGUAGGCGGGAAGGCAAGUCAGAUGUGAAAUGCAGGGGCCCAACCCCUGAACUGCAUUUGAAACUGUUUUUCUUGAGAGUCGGAGGGGUAAUCGGAAUUCCCAGUGUAGCGGUGAAAUGCGCAGAGAUUGGGAGGAACACCAGUGGCGAAGGCGACUUACUGGACUGUAACUGACGCUGAGUCACGAAAGCGUGGGUAGCAAACAGGAUUAGAUACCCUGGUAGUCCACGCUGUAAACGAUGAGUGCUAGGUGUUGGCCAGCGAUGGUCAGUGCCGCAGUAAACACAUUAAGCACUCCGCCUGGGGAGUACGGUCGCAAGACUGAAACUCAAAGGAAUUGACGGGG
rnacentral:rRNA from 1 species